UCUGGAACCCUCUCCCCUUUCCCCGCAUACACCGGGAGAGGGACCCACAGGAGAGGCCAGGAAAAGCUGAGCCAGUAGGAUCCUGUGCCCCAGGGAGAGUAUUUGCCCCAGCGGGCCCCCCCACCCUCACGGCCAAAUUUAGCCUGGGCCUAGAAAGAAGGCAGACCAGCCAGCCCAUUAAAGGGCCCACGACGCUCCGGGCCUGUGCCGUCAGGCCCACCUCGGCCUAGGGCACCCCACCCUUCAGAGCUCCCGGCCCCCCACUUCCCGGAGCCCUGCUCCCAGCCCCAUUUCCCUAGACCUCCCACCGGACACAGCAUUAACACCCCAAAGUCCUUCUGGCUCCUGCCCCCAGACUCCUCCCCUGAGGGACCUCUGUACUUUCGCCUCUCCACCCCUAAAUCCUGUCCCUUCAUCCUGGGCCUCCUCCCAGAAGAAGGCCCCAACUUGCCCACAAGGAGAAGAAUCCAGAUUACUGCUGCUGCCAUGGCUGCCCCAGCCUGCCCAGCCCCCGCUCUGUUCCGGCAACUACAACUUGGCCAGGACACUGCUUACCUCUCGACGCCCUUGUGAGGAAGCCUCAACAUCAUGAACUCUGGCGCAUGCGUACAGAGCACCUACCGCGUGCCAGGCACAGAGGAAGCCUCGACGGGCAGCACCCUGCCCCCCACGGAGCUUGCACACCACCGGUAGCAGGGCCCGAACCCAGUGCUGCCAGGCCCACAGAGGCCAGCUUCCUUACGGAUCCUUCUCCCCUCUGCCUCCAAACCAGGGGACCCGGGGACUGUGCCAGGGGUCAGCUGGAAGUCCCCUGUGGCCCACCAGAGGACCUCACCCACUCAGAGCUAUCUGGAUGAGCAGGUGAGGCAAAGGCGGAUGGAGGAAGGGAACUCUGAGAGCCGGUCUCCUCCUCAGGCACCCACUGCACAAGAUCCAGAGAGCAGAUGAAAAACAGAAGCCACCAUCCAAACACAGGAAUGUAUAUUAUUAGCAGUUGGAGCAGGCACUGGAGUCCUUCGAAUCCGCUGCCGACCAACUAUAUUGCCCAAUCCUUCCGGUUAAUUUUUUUCUUUGACCUCCCUGCAUGUCUCUCGAGCUCCCACAGCUAUGGCUGUCUGCGUUGCAAAAUACAUAUUUACAGGCCCUCUAAGCCUGGCUAAAUAUAGGCUUUCUUUUAAAGCAA